GACUUUAAAAAUCGUGAGG
rnacentral:tRNA from 1 species